GAUAAGCCGGAGGAAGGUGGGGAUGACGUCAAGUCCUCACUUGGCCCUUUACGGGCUGGGCUACACACGUGCUACAAUGGCGGUGACAGAGGGAUGCGAGGGCGCAAGACCUUGGACAAAUCUCAAAAAGCCGUCUCAGUUCGGAUUGGGGUCUGCAACUCGACCCAUGAAGUUGGAAUCGCUAGUAAUCGCGGAUCAGCACGCCGCGGUGAAUACGUUCCCGGGCCUU
rnacentral:rRNA from 1 species